UGGUACCUGCUGUGUACGUGAUGACGCGAAAUUGUUUUGAGCCAACACCCACAUAAAGGGAAUCGGAAUGUGGUGUUGAUGUGAUAGGCUGGAGCCAAGACUGAUACAACACUAGGGUUCCCACCUGCGAAAGCAGGUUCAAAACCAAGCGCACACGCCAUAGCGGGUAACUU
rnacentral:other from 1 species